UCGCGAAGCUCCCGUGGCCCAAAAGGCGCCCUAAUUCGUAUCUACCAUGAAGCAGACUCGGAUUCCCCACGUCUCCGCCUUUUUCUGCCAUAUUUUCACAAGCAGAAACCAAAUAUGCAAAUCUUUUCUCUGUUUUUACAAUGUUCUGAAUGUAUACAGAUUAAUUAAGAGCGGAAAACAAAGAGAAAUCGUAUAAUAGAUUAAAACACGAAGUUGACGCUAAAAAAGCUGGUCGUUUAAGAAUCACCCGUCCUCGACGUGCUUCCGGUGACAAUUCCGGCCGGCAAUACAGCGCUGGGCCCGACCAACCACUUCAGGCUUCAACCGCGGAGCUACUCUCAUCUCUCUGCAUUCCCUAAUAGAACGGUUUCAAUUUUUCGUAGAAUUUGUUUUUCACUUUCUCUCAAUCACCUCACUCUCUCACCAAACAGAAACCCUUCCUCUCUUUUUUUCCACCGCCUAGACCUCGCCCUUAUAUAUUACUUCCAGCUCUUGAAAUUACCCUUUUACCCCUGAGGGAACCCUGAUUCGCUUCACC
rnacentral:lncRNA from 1 species